GGGCACAGCAUAGCAUAAACAUAAACUCCUUAUCCUCUCUCUCUCCGUCUUUCUCUCACUCACAUCACACACAACAAACACACUACUCUCGCUCGUUGCUAAUGGCGUCUCAGAUCUAACAGUGCAACUGCCUCAGCCUGGUGACUUCCCUAAACGACGCCGUGUAUUUGGUUUAGUUUUUCCAUAUGCUGCAGAGAAUGGCGUACACGUUCUCGUUCCCGGAGGAGGUGCUGGAGCACGUGUUCUCGUUCAUCGAGAGCGAGAAGGACCGGAACGCGAUCUCGCUGGUGUGCAAGUCGUGGUACGAGAUCGAGCGGUGGUGCAGGAGGAGGGUUUUCGUGGGGAACUGCUACGCUGUGAGCCCUAUGAUGGUGAUCAAGCGGUUCCCGGAGGUGAGAUCCAUUGCGCUCAAAGGGAAGCCGCACUUUGCGGACUUCAAUUUGGUUCCCGAGGGUUGGGGCGGUUACGUUUGCCCCUGGAUCGCUGCCAUGGCUUGCGCCUUUCCGUGGCUCGAGGAGAUCAGACUCAAGAGGAUGGUCAUCACCGACGAGAGCCUUGAGCUCAUCGCCAAGUCCUUCAAGAACUUCAAGGUGCUCGUUCUCACUUCGUGUGAGGGUUUCACCACUGAUGGACUUGCCGCCAUUGCUGCUAACUGCAGGAAUUUGAGGGAGCUGGACUUGCAGGAGAGUGAAGUGGAGGACCUUAGUGGGCACUGGCUGAGCCAUUUUCCUGAUUCCUACACAUCAUUAGUUUCACUUAACAUCUCUUGCUUAGGCAAUGAGGUGAGUUUAUCUUCACUAGAGCGACUACUUGGGAGGUGUCCCAACCUGCAGACCCUCCGUCUCAACCGUGCUGUGCCCCUUGAUAGACUACCCAACUUACUUCGCCGGUGUCCUCAGCUGGUUGAGUUAGGCACAGGAGUCUACUCAACUGAGAUGCGACCGGAGGUCUUCUCAAAUCUUGAGGCAGCAUUUUCUGGGUGCAAGCAGUUGAAGAGCUUGUCUGGCUUUUGGGAUGUGCUCCCAUCGUACCUUCCAGCUGUUUAUCCCAUCUGCUCCAGGCUAACAUCGCUAAACUUGAGUUAUGCUAUUGUUCAAAGCUCUGAUCUUAUUAAGCUCAUCAGUCAAUGCCCGAGUUUGUUGCGGUUAUGGGUGCUGGAUUACAUAGAAGAUGCUGGUCUUUAUGCCCUUGCUGCAUCAUGCAAGGAUCUAAGGGAGUUAAGGGUGUUUCCGUCUGACCCAUUUGGUUUAGAACCGAAUGUUGCAUUGACAGAACAGGGCCUUGUGUCUGUGUCUGAAGGUUGCCCCAAGCUCCAGUCAGUUCUAUAUUUUUGUCGUCAAAUGUCUAAUGCAGCACUAAAUACAAUUGCGCGGAACAGGCCUAAUUUGACUCGUUUUCGGCUUUGUAUUAUUGAACCUCGAACUCCUGAUUAUAUUACCCUUGAACCGCUGGAUUCUGGUUUUGGAGCUAUUGUAGAGCACUGCAAGGAUCUUCAACGCCUAUCCCUAUCUGGUCUUCUUACCGAUCGUGUUUUUGAGUAUAUCGGGACUUAUGGGAAGAAGCUGGAGAUGCUAUCCGUGGCUUUUGCUGGAGAUAGUGAUUUGGGACUUCAUCAUGUGCUGUCUGGGUGUGAUAAUCUUAGGAAGCUGGAGAUCAGGGACUGCCCCUUUGGUGACAAGGCCCUUUUGGCCAAUGCUGCAAAGCUGGAGACAAUGCGAUCCCUUUGGAUGUCCUCUUGCUCAGUGAGUUAUGGAGCAUGUAAGCUACUGGGUCAGAAAAUGCCCAGACUCAACGUUGAAGUCAUUGAUGAAAGAGGACCUCCAGAUUCAAGGCCAGAGAGUUGUCCUGUUGAGAAGCUUUAUAUAUACAGGACUAUUGCUGGGCCAAGGUUGGACAUGCCUGGUUUUGUGUGGACAAUGGAAGAUGAUUCUUCACUAGGGCUUGAGUGAUCACGCUGAGAAAUUUUAUGGCCACUUGGAUUUGGAAAUUGAUAAUGGCAGCUUGCUAAAUCCAAAUGGAAGCAGUGCGUAAAAGGCUGCAAAUGGAUCUUUGGUGUUCCUGAGAAGUGGAGAGGUUUUGGUUUGCUUGCGGAGGAGAGGCAUCAGGUUUCAGGUGGCUUUGGCAGACUAAUUAGUGAAAGGCCGAAAUUUUGUGAGACUGGCAAUGGCAUUUUGAAAAAGCAAAAGAAAUAUGAGUAAGAAAAAGGCUAGGGUGGUAAAAAAAUGCCCUCAGCCCUGAGGCAGUGAGGCCUCAGGUGUGGUGACAUCUGCUUUUCAUUCAAUAAUCAAUGUUCAUCGGGGAAAGAGAGGAGGAAAGCCUCGACUGGUGAGCCACGUGAUAGAUUCGCUCACAUUGGAUGGUGUCCCUAGCUAUUACCUAAGCUAAGCUUUUUCCCUUCCUUCAUUCAACUUCUCUUUUCUAGUUCUACAAUAAUAAUCACAGAAAACAAACUCAUAUUCUGUUCUAAUGUAAGGUUUCAAAAACCUAACAUAGAAGAAGAGAGGGUGCGAACAAGUCUUCUUUUUGAAAAAGUGUGGAGGGCAGGACAAGUAGGCAAGACAAGAACAUUAUGUUGCACGGACAGUUUCGUCCCCACCAGACUUAUCCAAUCAAUAAAGAAAAAGUUGUGAAAGAAAGAAAAGGGUGAAGGUGUGCGAGGCCUCGUUUCAUUAGUUAAUGAUGGCCGCACGUUUCAUGUUCAUCUUCAUCAUUUAUAUUCCCUUAUUACUAUGGUCCUUUCAUCAUUAA